UUUGUAAAACAGAACAUUUAAUCGUGAAAUCAACUUCGUCUUAAAUAUUUUAUGUUUCUCGUUGUUUCAAAUAAAACAAGUUAAUGUCAUUUCAAGGGUAUUUUAGACAGUGUAGACAUAGUAGAGUUUUUCCUGCCUGUUUCGGCUUAUAUUUUGAAGCCUUAUUCAGCUGUAAACUGAAUAAGUCCUCGGUAUAGAAGCCGAAACGUCAUCCAACUCUUCAAGCCAAAAACUCUACUAGAAUUAGUGAACCUUUUAAAUAGUGUUUUCACUUAUUUUAAUUUCUAAAAGAGUAAGAAAAAUAUUAAUUUUUUUCCUUAAUGAUACUGAUAACUUUGAAGAUGGAAGUUGUUAAAUACGAUUAAUUAGUGUAAUUAGUUUCCUUCUUACAAUAUUGAAUUACAACGAAAUCAGAGUAUAGUUUGAGGCUUGUUUCCCUGAAAUAGGAAAACCUCGUUAAAACUUACAUUUUAACGGUUUAAACCUAAAAUCUGUACGUUAUUUAUAUCAGUUCUAUAGUAUACCUAAAGGCGGACGUAUGAAAGCUUAUCUAUCAUCCAAGUAAAUGUUUCUCUCCCCAAUCAGAAAAGGGGUUUACGUAAUAAGAUAUACACACAGCUGGGUUAACAGAUCUAAGUAGGAGGAGCUUCUGUUUUCCUUUAGUUUCAGUACUGAUGACGUCGAUAUCGUGACUAAUAAAAGUAGCCUGAAAUCUGCAAGAGGACAGAAGAGACGGUGAAGUUGACUAGCAGUUAGGAAACUAGCACUUGUUCCCAGAAGAAACGUUACGAAACAAUGUCCCAUACAACCUCUUCUAUUGUUUCCCUGGUAACCUUGGUUGCCCUGGUAACCUUCCAGACCACGGAAGCCUUCGGUCGAGGACCGUUCCGCAGCCUCACGCUCGUGAAAAAACUUGCUUCCAACCCAGAAUAUGGUGGUGGCCUUCAUCUGGCAUCACCUGACGUCAUUUAUGGAUUCGACCAAACCACUCCUUUCGACUGGAGGAUAGCACGAAAUCCAUUCCACGAGUCUCUGAAUUACUUGACGUACCUGGAUCAUCUUGUGAAGAAAAAGUCCGUGGACACCGAAGACGAACACCAAGACCAAGAACUCAAACGUGACGGAAACAGGAAGUUCCAAACCCAAGGUUGGAGGAGAUAAAUGGACAGGCAAUGUCCGUUUACGGAACCGUAUAUUGCUUUGCAUAGUUAUAUCCUAGAUAAAAGCUAACUGACUAAAUUUUUGUCCAUUAUUGGGAAAAUAUAGAUUUCCAAAACGUAUGAUUAAACCGACAAUUUUGUUGUUCUAAGUAACUGAAGUAGUAUUUUUUUCCAGUAGUUACGUAACAUAAAUAUUUCUUCUACUUAAUAUUGCAGAGACAUAAAUUUGAAUUAGCGAUGAAAAGUGUUACCUCAACUUUCUUUGUAAAAUAUUGACCAUGUCAUUCACUUUAACCAAUAGCAUCAGGUGAUAUACGAAUAGCUAAUUCUGUUAUUAUUUAUUGAUUAUCCAAGAUACUUUUCCUGAUACAGAAAAGAAUGAACAAGAUGGUUUCUUUUGCUGUAUUAUUAUUAUUUGUGAACAAAUUUCCGUUUAAAUAAAGUGUAUGUGUAUGAAUCAAAA